rnacentral:rRNA from 1 species
AUUGAACGCUGGCGGCAGGCCUAACACAUGCAAGUCGAGCGGAUGAAGGGAGCUUGCUCCUGGAUUCAGCGGCGGACGGGUGAGUAAUGCCUAGGAAUCUGCCUGGUAGUGGGGGAUAACGUCCGGAAACGGGCGCUAAUACCGCAUACGUCCUGAGGGUGAAAGUGGGGGAUCUUCGGACCUCACGCUAUCAGAUGAGCCUAGGUCGGAUUAGCUAGUUGGUGGGGUAAAGGCGUACCAAGGCGACUAUCCGUAGCUGGUCUGAGAGGGUGAUCAGUCACACUGGAACUGAGACAGGGUCCAGACUCCUACGGGAGGCAGCAGGGGGGAAUUUUGGGCAAUGGGCGAAAGCCGGACCCAGCAAUGCCGCGUGUGUGAAGAAGGUCUUCGGAUUGUAAAGCUCUUUUAGUUGGGAAAAAGGGAUGUAUAAUAAACCCUGGAUGUUUUGACGUUACCAAAAAAAAAAGCACCGGCUAACUACGUG